AGUGAACGCUGGCGGUAGGCCUAACACAUGCAAGUCGAACGGCAGCACGGGAGAGCUUGCUCUCUAGGUGGCGAGUGGCGGACGGGUGAGGAAUACAUCGGAAUCUGCCCAGUCGUGGGGGAUAACGUAGGGAAACUUACGCUAAUACCGCAUACGACCUUCGGGUGAAAGAGGGGGAUCGCAAGACCUCUCGCGAUUGGAUGAGCCGAUGUCGGAUUAGCUAGUUAGCGGGGUAAUGGCCCACCAAGGCGACGAUCCGUAGCUGGUCUGAGAGGAUGAUCAGCCACACUGGAACUGAGACACGGUCCAGACUCCUACGGGAGGCAGCAGUGGGGAAUAUUGGACAAUGGGCGCAAGCCUGAUCCAGCCAUACCGCGUGGGUGAAGAAGGCCUUCGGGUUGUAAAGCCCUUUUGUUGGGAAAGAAAUCUUUCAGGCUAAUACCCUGGGAGGAUGACGGUACCCAAAGAAUAAGCACCGGCUAACUUCGUG
rnacentral:rRNA from 1 species